UGAAAAAGAAGAAUAAAGAGCGUGAAUCAAGAGAGUGUGUGAGUGUCUUUUCCCCUUAACCCUCUCAAAUAGAAAAGUCAUAGUUUCACUCCCCAUCCCCUGGGAAGGUCUAAGACUGGGGCCUCCUGAGGCCCUAACCGGGCCCUCCUUGAGUAGGGAGGUGAGUUCCCAGAGAGCAGGGCUCCAUGCCUGGGCAGACCAGGCAGGAGAGGCCCGGAGUGGGCAGAUGCCUCUCUCGCUGGAGCUUGGAACAGACUCACGGACAGAAAGUUGUAGUUUGCACAGAUGCCACGGAUUCUCGUCCAGCCCUGGGCUGUCUGGAGGUUGGUUCUCCCUUCCUCAUCUGAUUGAUGGUCUCUUCUUGA
ensembl:ribozyme RNaseP_nuc Nuclear RNase P